rnacentral:ncRNA from 1 species
CAAGAGAGGCAUAAAGAGGGAAUCCGGUGCGAAUCCGGAACAGUGCCCGCUACUGUAAAUCCCCUUGUCAAAACAGAGAACCUCUCCACCUUUGCCACUGUCGCCCUUUCGGGCAGACGGGAAGGCGGUUCUCUCGGGGAAAGUCAGGAAACCUGCCUAUACUUGA